rnacentral:misc_RNA from 1 species
CGAAAUGCGAUAAGUAAUGUGAAUUGCAGAAUUCAGUGAAUCAUCGAAUCUUUGAACGCACAUUGCGCCCGCCAGUAUUCUGGCGGGCAUGCCUGUUCGAGCGUCAUUUCAACCAUCAAGCCCCCGGGCUUGUGUUGGGGACCUGCGGCUGCCGCAGGCCCCGAAAACCAGUGGCGGGCUCGCUGUCACACCGGGCGUAGUAGAUUUUUCGUCUCGCCCAGGGCGUGCUGCGGGUUCCGGCCGUUAAAAAGCCUCUCUUUUUAACCCAAGGUUGACCUCGGAUCAGGUAGGAAGACCCGCUGAACUUAAGC